rnacentral:rRNA from 1 species
UACGAAGGGGGCUAGCGUUGCUCGGAAUCACUGGGCGUAAAGGGUGCGUAGGCGGGUUUUUAAGUCAGGGGUGAAAUCCUGGAGCUCAACUCCAGAACUGCCUUUGAUACUGAGGAUCUUGAGUUCGGGAGAGGUGAGUGGAACUGCGAGUGUAGAGGUGAAAUUCGUAGAUAUUCGCAAGAACACCAGUGGCGAAGGCGGCUCACUGGCCCGAUACUGACGCUGAGGAGCGAAAGCGUGGGGAGCGAACAGG